CAAAUUGUCCCUUCAUCCUUAAAAUAAACAUUCGGCUAUGAUUAAGCUCCAAACAUUCAAAUUUCCCUUUAUAGUAUUUAUUAGAGUAGUACCCAUUAUCAACCAAAGAUAAAAGUAAUCAAUUGAUCUUUUUGCCAAUCCCUUCGCUAAUAUAGUAGCAUAACUUAAAUUCCAAUUUCCAAAAGAACACCACUUAGCAACUAAGAAUCCAACGAAUUGAAGAAUUAAACUCAAACCAAUAUCCUUGUUUAUGAAGUCCCUAUCCUUCUUGCAGCAAUACACAAAUAAAUCAUAAUCUUCUCACCUGUUACAGAUUUGUAUGACUUAGUUCCAAAGUUACUAAUUAAGAUCUCUCUUAUUAAAGUUAUGAUUUAGGAAAAUACUUAGUGAUGAUACAUUCUUAUUGGAAAUCGCUGUGAGCCUUCCUAGAAGAUACUUGGUGAUAAUAAAUUCAUAUUAGCAUCUUCUUCCAUAUCUUCUUCAUUAGCAUCCCAAAGAAACCGAUCAUAUGAAGCAAUUACAUAACCGUGUGAUGAUCGAAUGAACAAAAAUUAGUUUAACAACCAAAAUUCGAUCCAUAAAAGGAAGGUAAAUUUUUUCAAUUGUUGUGAAGAUGUUUAGCGAUCAAAGUAACCAUCUGUACGAAUUCCAUCCUUUUGUGUCUCCCAUAUCAAAUCAACAUACAUUAUUGAAAAAGACUUACCAUCUUUAGGGUUUGCCAGGAUUUCUCUGCUACAAUACUCUUCAGUGCACGAUAAUGUUCUCACACCUUUUGAAAGAACCAAUCAAAACAUGAAAUUGGAACAGAAACCCAAAAUAUAAUGCAUUAUAAAACUGAAAAUCUUUCUAUUAUCUCCCCGGAUUUCCAUUUGAUUAGCUUAGGUCCAAUUGAAAUUGAAAAGAUUCUUAAUUUUACAGAAGGGGAACGUAGGGGAAAUCGACCGAUUACAUACAAGUAAUCUAAAAUUGAAGUAUACAACAUCAAUAAACGUAACGACGAAGAAAAGUAGUAGGUACCUUGAAAGCUGACCCCAUGGAUUGAUUUGAAUGGAAUGGACAAACAAAUUGUUUGAGCUUUGAAUCUACGCUCCCUAGUGAAGGAAAAUGCUUUCUCUUUUCCAAUCCAAGCCACAACUCGAAGCCUUGAAUACCACUUUCCCAUGUAAGUCACCUAAUUUGUCCUGCCGUUGAAGUCCAUCUGAAUUCAUGAAUGGAAGCGUAAGGCAUUAUUGGGCAUAUCCUUUCGAUAUCAUCUUCCAUUACCACACACAAAUUAUGGUGAUAUAAUAUCAUCUUCCAUAACUGUUGACAUCAAAUGAAACAAUUCAACCGAUUGUUUGAAACGUAGAAACAUUGAACAUCUUCCGAUCAUUAUAUACGACAUUUUUCUCUAUUGUGGUUAGGUCAGUUACCGAUUAAGAAGGAAGCAACCUCCUUAUCGUGGUUGGUUGAAGGAGAAGUGCCAUAAUUAAAACAUUGUUGGAAGGAUCGAUAAACCGACUGUGAACGUGGGGGAGAAGAAGAAGGAAGCGUGCUGAAAGACGAUGAACCUCCGAUUAACCGAUUGCUGGAAUCGUCUUGUAACCGUAGAUAAGGAGUUUAAAUGGUUGAGUUUAAAAGUUGCAGGAGUUUGAACGGCUCAAAUUGGGACGACCGUAGUUAUACUCACCCUCGUCAAUACUGUUAAUAAUAUCUUCCAGAAGCUUUUAAUAUUGUUUCCGAAUAAAUAAAUAUGACAGAAGUAAAAAACGCAAGGAUGAAAAGCCCACGCUUUGCCACAAAACGUUUUUUUUCAUGUUUUUAUGAAAAAAAAUGUAAAAGUUUUGACUGCAAGGACCAUAAGUGUCAAAAUAGCUAAAGAAUUAAAAGGAUAGGAAUUAAUAACUUUUUCGAAAAGGGAUCAAAGUUGUUCAAUCAUUAAAGUUUUAUGAUCAAACUUUAAAUAUUAAAAGGUUCUUAAAAAGUAUAAAAUUAUUGAUUACAAGGACCAAAAAUGUCAAAAUGAUAAAAAAAAUAAAGAGCCAAAGUUGCCAAAAAAAAAUUAAAAAAAAAAAAAAAACAAUUUACUAUGAUUCAUUUCUUUAGUAUAUAUAUUAAUAAUUCAACAAAUAAUUAUGGAUUAUAUUUACCAUGGGUCGGCUCUCUAUCACCUUGCAAGCCCAAACAGCAACCCAAUAGCCGGAUAUCCUUGGACCUUGGCAAUGGACCAGUGGUAGCCGAUCACCAGAAGCCUAUUUUUACACAUACACACAUCAAACAUGUCGUCUUUGAUAUACAUAAUUUAAGUAUCAAAUUAAUCGGAUAUCCAAGUUAU
rnacentral:lncRNA from 1 species